UUUAGGAGAAGCCGUAACAAGGUUUCCG
rnacentral:rRNA from 1 species